rnacentral:rRNA from 1 species
GACAGAGGAUGCAAGCGUUAUCCGGAAUUAUUGGGCGUAAAGAGCUCGUAGGCGGUUUGUCGCGUCUGCCGUGAAAGUCCGGGGCUCAACUCCGGAUCUGCGGUGGGUACGGGCAGACUAGAGUGAUGUAGGGGAGACUGGAAUUCCUGGUGUAGCGGUGAAAUGCGCAGAUAUCAGGAGGAACACCGAUGGCGAAGGCAGGUCUCUGGGCAGUAACUGACGCUGAGGAGCGAAAGCGUGGGGAGCAAACAGG